rnacentral:tRNA from 3 species
GCGCCCGUAGCUCAGGGGACAGAGCGCUGCCCUGCGGAGGCAGAGGUCGCAGGUUCAAAUCCUGCCGGGCGUACCA